rnacentral:rRNA from 1 species
GACGAACCGUGCAAACGUUGUUCGGAUUCACUGGGCUUAAAGGGCGCGUAGGCGGUCUGUUAAGUCGGCGGUGAAAUACUUCGGCUCAACCGGAGAAUGGCCGCUGAAACUGGCAGGCUCGAGGAAGGUAGAGGUGCGUGGAACUUCCGGUGGAGCGGUGAAAUGCGUUGAUAUCGGAAGGAACGCCGGUGGCGAAAGCGAUGCACUGGACCUUCACUGACGCUGAGGCGCGAAAGCUAGGGUAGCGAACGGG